rnacentral:rRNA from 1 species
GACGAACGCUGGCGGCGUGCCUAACACAUGCAAGUCAACUUGACGGAAGGAGCAAUCUGACCGUAGAGUGGCGCAAGGGUGCGUAGCGCGUAAGUAACUUGCCCCAAGGUAAGGAAUAACGUCGAGAAAUCGGCGCUAAUACCUCAUAAUGCAGCGGAUCCGCAUGGAUAUGUUGUUAAAGGUUUACCGCCUUGGGAUAGGCUUGCGUCUGAUUAGCUAGUUGGUGUGGUAACGGCACACCAAGGCUACGAUCAGUAACUGGUCUGAGAGGAUGAUCAGUCACACUGGAACUGAGACACGGUCCAGACUCCUACGGGAGGCAGCAGUGAGGAAUAUUGGGCAAUGCUCGAAAGAGUGACCCAGCAACGCCGCGUGGAGGAUGAAGGUAUUCUAUAUCGUAAACUCCUGUGAGAGCAGACGAAAGACAGAUUAUUAAUCUGGAUGACUGUAUGCUCAGAGGAAG